AAAGCAUAAUCAAUAAAAUGCAGACAUUUAUUUAAAACAAUUAAAUAUGUACUAAUCAGGAAAUUAGUAGUAGAGGAUGUAUACUUUAUUAUGGUGAUGACGUAAUGACUGACAAACGCUAAAUUCGUCAAGAUGGCUAUGCAAGCAGGUCGUCGUCAAAAUGUUCGUCUGCCACCAGAGGUAAACAGAAUAUUGUAUGUGAGAAACUUACCAUAUAAGAUUACGGCUGAAGAAAUGUAUGAUAUAUUUGGAAAAUAUGGUGCAAUUCGUCAAAUCAGAGUGUAAGUUAUAAUUAUAUUCCUUCACUU